rnacentral:tRNA from 2 species
GUGGGCGUAGCUCAGUUGGUAGAGCCCCGGAUUGUGAUUCCGGUUGUCGUGGGUUCAAGUCCCAUCGUUCACCCCA